CCUCAUUGAUGAUUGUCAAUAGUUACCUGCAUAAAUAACUUCCCCUUGUCUCGAUAAUGUUAUUUAGAAAGUUAUUUCUGACAAAAAAAAUAGCUAUAUGUGACCUUUUAUACGUGUGACUAGUAGCCAAAUAUAGACUUCCAAGUAUCACAUUAUAAUUAGUUAAUCAAACUUUGAACAGUCUAAUAUUUUUAAACAUUAGCUAUACUUUGCC
rnacentral:lncRNA from 1 species